GAUGAAGAACGCAGCGAAAUGCGAUAAGUAGUGUGAAUUGCAGAAUUCAGUGAAUCAUCGAAUCUUUGAACGCACAUUGCGCCCUUUGGUAUUCCUUAGGGCAUGUCUGUUCGAGCGUCAUUUAAACCUUCAAGCUCAGCUUGGUGUUGGGUGACUGUCCGCUUCACCGCGGACUCGCCUCAAAAUUAUUGGCGGCCGGUACAUUGGCUUCGAGCGCAGCAGAAACGCGAACUCGGGCCCGUCGUAUUGGCUCCCAGGAGCUAUCUUCACAAUUUUGACCUCGGAUCAGGUAGGGAUACCCGCUGAACUUAAGCAUAUCAAUAAGCGGAGGA
rnacentral:misc_RNA from 1 species